AUUAUUUGAAAGUUUUUAUAAUUUUGUUAAAUAAAUUUAUAAUUAUUUAAAAAUUUAUUAACCGAAGAUGUAAUAAUUAACCACCAGAGCUAAGAAGCCUCUUCCACGUUCAUUUCCCUUCCCUCACUCUCACCAUUACAACCCAUAAACCACUAUCACAGAAACCAACCAUAAAAAGACCAUUUUUCCUCCUCUGUUUCAGACCGAAAGUCACACAGCCAUCAAACCACAUCGUCCAUUUGUUCCAGCCAAGAAAAACAACCAGGGAUUGCUGGAAAAAAGGAUCAUCUUCAAGCCUCUCACCUCUGAGCCGCCAUUCUCUCCACACCAGGACCUACUCCUCCAGAACCCCCAAAAUCUCCAUAGCAAUCAGUUUUCCUUCAUCAUCAGCACAACGUCCCUCCUUCAGACCACUAUGACAUUGUCACCGUAGAAACAAGACCAGUAGCAAUUAGCUACUACCCACAUUAACGUUGGCCUCUACCACGCCUCUCCUCCACUGUUUAAGGUUGAAGCAACUAGAAAGGGAAAUUGUUUUUGAGAAAACAGACCAGUGAAACAAAUAUGUGAAAGAAGAAAAAAAUAAAAUCUAUUGUUUUUGUGUUUUUCCUUACUUUGCAGGUGACAGUACCAUGUUAAUAUUGUCACCGUAGAAACAAGACCAGUAGCAAUUAGCUACUACCCACAUUAACGUCGGCCUCUACCACGCCUCUCCUCCACUUUUUUAAGGUUGAAGCAACAAGAAAGGGAAAAGGAAUUGAGAAAACAGACCAGUGAAACAAAUAUGUGAAAGAAGAAAAAAAUAAAAUCUAUUGUUUGUGUGUUUUUCCUUACUUUGCAGUUGACAGUGAUAUUCACCGCUGGCCUAGGGAGGAAGAAGAGGACUAACCACUUCAGAUCCACCCGUCUUUCUAGUUUUAUUGACAGCGGCACAUGGUGCUAUACGUUGACAGAAAAGGUGGCGCGUUGAGCAGACACGCCUCCACUAUUUCUCCGCUUUCCAAAAGCUUCUCAGCACUAUUCCUUAAUUUUAGAGGG
rnacentral:lncRNA from 1 species